GCCAAUGUGGCAUAGUGGUUUGAGUGUUGGCCUACAGUUCUGGAGACCAGGGUUCAAUUUCCAGCUUGGCCA
rnacentral:tRNA from 1 species